GACGAACGCUGGCGGCGUGCCUAAUACAUGCAAGUCGAACGCAGUGGGGACGGGUGAGUAACACGUGGGUAACCUCCCAUCAGAGGGGAUAACACUUGGAAACAGGUGCUAAACCGAUACUGAUGGAUGGACCCGUGGUGCAUUGGCUAGUUGGUGAGGUAACGGCUCACCAAGGCCACGAUGCAUAGCAUACCUGCGAGGGUUAUCGGCCACACUGUGACUGUGAGACGGCCCAGACUCCUACGGGAGGCAGCAUUAGGGAAUCUUCGGCAAUGGACGAAAGUCUGACCGAGCAACGCCGCGUGAGUGAAGAAGGUUUUCGGAUCGUAAAACUCUGUUGUUAGAGAAGCGGUAUCUAACCAGAAAGCCACGGCUAACUACGUGCCAGCAGCCGCGGUAAUUC
rnacentral:rRNA from 1 species